rnacentral:rRNA from 1 species
CCUACGGGAGGCAGCAGUGAGGAAUAUUGGUCAAUGGACGAGAGUCUGAACCAGCCAAGUAGCGUGAAGGAUGACUGCCCUAUGGGUUGUAAACUUCUUUUAUAAAGGAAUAAAACGAGGCACGUGUGCCUUUUUGCAUGUACUUUAUGAAUAAGGAUCGGCUAACUCCGUGCCAGCAGCCGCGGUAAUACGGAGGAUCCGAGCGUUAUCCGGAUUUAUUGGGUUUAAAGGGAGCGUAGAUGGGUUGUUAAGUCAGUUGUGAAAGUUUGCGGCUCAACCGUAAAAUUGCAAUUGAUACUGGAAGUCUUGAGUACAGUUGAGGUAGGCGGAAUUCGUGGUGUAGCGGUGAAAUGCUUAGAUAUCACGAAGAACCCCGAUUGCGAAGGCAGCUUACUAAACUGUGACUGACAUUGAUGCUCGAAAGUGUGGGUAUCAAACAGGAUUAGAUACCCGUGUAGUC